UGAAGAGAGAGGAGGAGCGUUUGCGGCCUCAGCGUCUGUCAACAGAACCCUCUUCACCCGUGGUUAAACCCUCCCUAACCCUGAGCUCGUGCUCCCCUCCCGGUGGACGCAGACCUGACCACAGAAGCCCUGCAGCACUCACUGGGGGCUUGAGGGAGCCCCUGAGUCCCCUCCACCCUCGCCGCCUUCUCCUGGGUACCCAGGAAACGUCUCCAAGGGAGGCUGUGACCCAGGACCCCGCCUCGACCUCACCUUCUUCUGUAAGGCGCAGUGAAAGACGAAGAUGAAGACCCCCUGGAAGGCGUUGAAGGUGGUGAAGAGAUAGGCCAUGACCACCGACUCCUUGUUGAUGAAGAGGAGGCCGAAAGCCCAGUGAGAGCCUCGAAGAUGUAAUCACAGAGAGAGAGAGAGAGAGAGAGAGCGAGAGAGAGACAGAGAGAGGAGCAUCGGCUCACCAAGAAGGCCUGUCCUGGUCCCAGGGGCCACAGCGGGAUGGCCCCUACCAACCUGGCCCAGCCGACUUGUUGGAGGAGAAACCUGGACACAGACAUGCACAGAAGACCAUGUGACCAUGAAGGCAGAGAUCAGAGUGAUGCUUCUAGAAGCCAGGGAAGAUUGCCAGUUAAUGACCAAAAGAAGCCAGGAGACAGGCCUGCAACGGAUUCUGCCUGAAGGCUCCCAGAAGGAACCAACCCUGACAACACCUUGAUCUUGGACUUCCAACCUCCAGAGCUGGGAGGCGACACAAUUCUGUUGUUGGCUGCAGUGGCUCACGCCUGUAAUCCCAGCACUUUGGGAGGCCAAGGCGGGAGAAUUGCUUGAGCCCAGGAGUUUGAGACCAGCCUGGGCAACACAGUGAGACCCCAGCUCUACAAACAAAUAUAAAAAAGUAGCUGGGCAUGAUGGGAUGCACCUGUAGUCCCAGCUGCUCGGGAGGCUGAGGCUGCAGUGACCUGUGAUCGCACCAGUACACUUCAGCCUGGGCAAUAGAGCAAGACCUCAUCUCUGAAACAUAAACAAAAAAACCAAUAAAGUCUCUGUUGCUAAAGCUGUCCCGUCUGUGGUAAUUUGUUGUGGGAGCCUAGGAAAUUCAUAUAGGGAGUCAGGACACAAAGAGAGUGAGGAGGGAGGCAGAGAUGGGGGCAAGGGCCUGAGCCACAGAACUUUAAAGAAACCAUUUACAGGAAACAGCAAACGACAGGGUGAGCAUCUAGCUGGGCUCUCCAGCAAGGAACCACCUGAGAUGCCUGGGACAGUG
rnacentral:lncRNA from 1 species